rnacentral:rRNA from 1 species
ACCUCUCGGGGUUACAGCCUUGCUGAAUUAUUCACCCUUGUCUUUUGCGUACUUCUUGUUUCCUUGGUGGGUUCGCCCACCACUAGGACAAACAUAAACCUUUUGUAAUUGCAAUCAGCGUCAGUAACAAAUUAAUAAUUACAACUUUCAACAACGGAUCUCUUGGUUCUGGCAUCGAUGAAGAACGCAGCGAAAUGCGAUAAGUAGUGUGAAUUGCAGAAUUCAGUGAAUCAUCGAAUCUUUGAACGCACAUUGCGCCCUUUGGUAUUCCAAAGGGCAUGCCUGUUCGAGCGUCAUUUGUACCCUCAAGCUUUGCUUGGUGUUGGGCGUCUUGUCUCUAGCUUUGCUGGAGACUCGCCUUAAAGUAAUUGGCAGCCGGCCUACUGGUUUCGGAGCGCAGCACAAGUCGCACUCUCUAUCAGCAAAGGUCUAGCAUCCAUUAAGCCUUUUUUUCAACUUUUGACCUCGGAUCAGGUAGGGAUACCCGCUGAACUUAAGCAUAUCAAUAAGCGGGAGGAAUU